rnacentral:rRNA from 1 species
GAUGAACGCUGGCGGCGUGCCUAAUACAUGCGAGUCGAGCGAACAGACGAGGAGCUUGCUCCUCUGACGUUAGCGGCGGACGGGUGAGUAACACGUGGAUAACCUACCUAUAAGACUGGGAUAACUUCGGGAAACCGGAGCUAAUACCGGAUAAUAUAUUGAACCGCAUGGUUCAAUAGUGAAAGACGGUUUUGCUGUCACUUAUAGAUGGAUCCGCGCCGCAUUAGCUAGUUGGUAAGGUAACGGCUUACCAAGGCAACGAUGCGUAGCCGACCUGAGAGGGUGAUCGGCCACACGUGAACUGAGACACGGUCCAGACUCCUACGGGAGGCAGCAGUAGGGAAUCUUCCGCAAUGGGCGAAAGCCUGACGGAGCAACGCCGCGUGAGUGAUGAAGGUCUUCGGAUCGUAAAACUCUGUUAUUAGGGAAGAACAAAUGUGUAAGUAACUAUGCACGUCUUGACGGUACCUAAUCAGAAAGCCACGGCUAACUACGUG